rnacentral:rRNA from 1 species
AGAUGGCGACCGGCGCACGGGUGAGUAACACGUAUCCAACCUGCCGAUGACUCGGGGGAUAGCCUUUCGAAAGAAAGAUUAAUACCCGAUGGCAUAGUUCUUCCGCAUGGUAGAACUAUUAAAGAAUUUCGGUCAUCGAUGGGGAUGCGUUCCAUUAGGUUGUUGGCGGGGUAACGGGCCCACCAAGCCUUCGAUGGAUAGGGGUUCUGAGAGGAAGGUCCCCCACAUUGGAACUGAGACACGGUCCAAACUCCUACGGGAGGCAGCAUG